AUGGGAACGCGAAGAACCUUACCUGGUCUUGACAUCCACAGAACUUAGCAGAGAUGCUUUGGUGCCUUCGGGAACUGUGAGACAGGUGCUGCAUGGCUGUCGUCAGCUCGUGUUGUGAAAUGUUGGGUUAAGUCCCGCAACGAGCGCAACCCUUAUCCUUUGUUGCCAGCGGUUAGGCCGGGAACUCAAAGGAGACUGCCAGUGAUAAACUGGAGGAAGGUGGGGAUGACGUCAAGUCAUCAUGGCCCUUACGAGUAGGGCUACACACGUGCUACAAUGGCGCAUACAAAGAGAAGCGACCUCGCGAGAGCAAGCGGACCUCAUAAAGUGCGUCGUAGUCCGGAUUGGAGUCUGCAACUCGACUCCAUGAAGUCGGAAUCGCUAGUAAUCGUAGAUCAGAAUGCUACGGUGAAUACGUUCCCGGGUCUUGUACACACCG
rnacentral:rRNA from 1 species